AGCAGAGCCAGCUCAGUCAAAGGGCCUUCCAUAUCUGUGAGAGGGGGUGGAGUUAACCUGCCCACAAAAACCCUAGCUCUCUGUGGCACACCAAUGGAAACUUAGUAGCACCUGAUGUAGCUGGCAUUUGAUAAUAUUUUCCUACGUGCAGGAUCCUCGUAGAAUUUCCUUGGUAUUAGCUGCCACUAAGAGUGAAAGAGCAAGAAAGGAGAGGGUGCUGCCCUUUGAUUGAUUUUUUAAUUUACAAUGUAAAAUUUUUUACUUCAGACGUGUAUUUUAUUAGUUCAUGACCACAUGAGCUGAAAGGAAAGGGAAAAAGAGAGCUGCAAUGCAGAGAAGAUGCUAAAGGUUGGUUUUCUUUAGGAAAAUUUUCUUGAUGCAUUCGUUUAACUCUCUUUUUUCCCACCCUCACUUGGAGGUUUUGCUUU
rnacentral:misc_RNA from 1 species